UGCACUUGGGGAUUAGUGGCGAACGGGUGAGUAACACGUGAGCAACCUGCCCCUCACUCUGGGAUAAGCGCUGGAAACGGCGUCUAAUACUGGAUACGAGGCACAACCGCAUGGUUAGUGUCUGGAAAGAUUUUUUGGUGGGGGAUGGGCUCGCGGCCUAUCAGCUUGUUGGUGAGGUAAUGGCUCACCAAGGCGUCGACGGGUAGCCGGCCUGAGAGGGUGACCGGCCACACUGGGACUGAGACACGGCCCAGACUCCUACGGGAGGCAGCAGUGGGGAAUAUUGCACAAUGGGCGGAAGCCUGAUGCAGCAACGCCGCGUGAGGGAUGACGGCCUUCGGGUUGUAAACCUCUUUUAGCAGGGAAGAAGCGAAAGUGACGGUACCUGCAGAAAAAGCACCGGCUAACUACGUGCCAGCAGCCGCGGUAAUACGUAGGGUGCAAGCGUUAUCCGGAAUUAUUGGGCGUAAAGAGCUCGUAGGCGGUUUGUCGCGUCUGCUGUGAAAUCCCGAGGCUUAACCUCGGGCCUGCAGUGGGUACGGGCAGACUAGAGUGCGGUAGGGGAGAUUGGAAUUCCUGGUGUAGCGGUGGAAUGCGCAGAUAUCAGGAGGAACACCGAUGGCGAAGGCAGAUCUCUGGGCCGUAACUGACGCUGAGGAGCGAAAGGGUGGGGAGCAAACAGGCUUAGAUACCCUGGUAGUCCACCCCGUAAACGUUGGGAACUAGUUGUGGGGUCCUUUCCACGGAUUCCGUGACGCAGCUAACGCAUUAAGUUCCCCGCCUGGGGAGUACGGCCGCAAGGCUAAAACUCAAAGGAAUUGACGGGGACCCGCACAAGCGGCGGAGCAUGCGGAUUAAUUCGAUGCAACGCGAAGAACCUUACCAAGGCUUGACAUACACGAGAACGGGCCAGAAAUGGUCAACUCUUUGGACACUCGUGAACAGGUGGUGCAUGGUUGUCGUCAGCUCGUGUCGUGAGAUGUUGGGUUAAGUCCCGCAACGAGCGCAACCCUCGUUCUAUGUUGCCAGCACGUAAUGGUGGGAACUCAUGGGAUACUGCCGGGGUCAACUCGGAGGAAGGUGGGGAUGACGUCAAAUCAUCAUGCCCCUUAUGUCUUGGGCUUCACGCAUGCUACAAUGGCCGGUACAAAGGGCUGCAAUACCGUGAGGUGGAGCGAAUCCCAAAAAGCCGGUCCCAGUUCGGAUUGAGGUCUGCAACUCGACCUCAUGAAGUCGGAGUCGCUAGUAAUCGCAGAUCAGCAACGCUGCGGUGAAUACGUUCCCGGGUCUUGUACACACCGCCCGUC
rnacentral:rRNA from 1 species